rnacentral:lncRNA from 10 species
AAAGGUUAGAACCUUCACAGUCAAGCACUCUUUGGGUAACCAAGUAACCUCUUCAGAGCCUUCCCACUGCCACCGAAGCAUUCCUACACCUCCCUAUAUUGGCAGCUCAGUCCAGGAGGAGGACUAAAGGGGGAACGUGUGUCCCUCUCACUGCACCAUUGCCGAGCUUUCUUCUCCAAAUGGCACAACAGGCACAGCUCUCUGGUGUAACGCUUUCAACUGCAUAACUGAGAUCUCACAUAAAAGUCAUCUAGUACAGGCCAGGCGCAGUGGCUCAUGCCUAUAAUCCCAGCACUUUGGGAGGCCGAGGCAGGUGGAUCACCUGAAGUCAGGAGCUCAAGACCAGCCUGGCCAACAUGUUGAAACCCCGUCUCUACUAAAAAUACAAACAUCAGCCGGGCGUGGGGGCGCGCACCUGUAAUCCCAGCUACUCGGGAGGCUGAGGCAUGAGAAUCACUUGAACCUGGGAGGCGGAGGUUGCAGUAAGCCAAGAUCACUCCAGCCUGGGCAACAGAGCAAGACUCCAUCUCAAAAAGAAAAAAAAAAAGUCAUUUGGUACAUCAGGGUGCUUCACAGGUUGAGUUUUUCAUUCUACUUCUGUCCACUCAGCGUCGUCACUUCUCCAAUCUAUAGAAGAGAACAAAAGGGUAACAGAGGGAACUAGUACAGAAAACAAGAUGAGUGGGGCAGCAGAGAUUAAUCUAGAUCUGGUCUGCAUCUGCCUGACAUAAAAUCCAGAUAUCUAAACACAGAUCUGCUGAAAACGGUGUCUUUUAUUUCUACAGUAAUUACACUAAUUCACCAACGUGCAUAUCUAGCUCACCCAGACCUUUAUUUAUCAAUUGGAAAACUAGUUUUCAAAUAGUUUCCCUUUGAUAACUCAAAAUUCAGUAUUUUAGAGAAAG